rnacentral:rRNA from 1 species
UACGUAGGGUGCAAGCGUUAAUCGGAAUUACUGGGCGUAAAGCGUGCGCAGGCGGCUUUGCAAGACAGAUGUGAAAUCCCCGGGCUUAACCUGGGAACUGCAUUUGUGACUGCAUGGCUGGAGUGCGGCAGAGGGGGAUGGAAUUCCGCGUGUAGCAGUGAAAUGCGUAGAGAUGCGGAGGAACACCGAUGGCGAAGGCAGCCCCCUGGGCUGACACUGACGCUCAGGCACGAAAGCGUGGGGAGCAAACAGG